UCAAUGAUGAAUUAAUAUUUAGUGAAAUUUGCUAUUUAUGAUCAAAUAUCCUCUAAGAAGUUCUGAGAAG